rnacentral:rRNA from 1 species
UACGUAGGGGGCAAGCGUUGUCCGGAAUCAUUGGGCGUAAAGAGCGUGUAGGCGGCCCGGUAAGUCCGCUGUGAAAGUCCAGGGCUCAACCCUGGGAUGCCGGUGGAUACUGUCGGGCUCGAGUCCGGAAGAGGAGUGUGGAAUUCCUGGUGUGAGCGGUGAAAUGCGCAGAUAUCAGGAAGAACACCCGUGGCGAAGGCGGCUCCUCUGGGACGGUACUGAC